UGGGGAAUAUUGGACAAUGGGCGAAAGCCUGAUCCAGCCAUGCCGCGUGUGUGAAGAAGGCCUUUUGGUUGUAAAGCACUUUAAGUGGGGAGGAAAAGCUUAUGGUUAAUACCCAUAAGCCCUGACGUUACCCACAGAAUAAGCACCGGCUAACUCUGUGCCAGCAGCCGCGGUAAUACAGAGGGUGCAAGCGUUAAUCGGAAUUACUGGGCGUAAAGCGCGCGUAGGUGGUUAUUUAAGUCAGAUGUGAAAGCCCCGGGCUUAACCUGGGAACUGCAUCUGAUACUGGAUAACUAGAGUAGGUGAGAGGGGAGUAGAAUUCCAGGUGUAGCGGUGAAAUGCGUAGAGAUCUGGAGGAAUACCGAUGGCGAAGGCAGCUCCCUGGCAUCAUACUGACACUGAGGUGCGAAAGCGUGGGUAGCAAACAGGAUUAGAUACCCUGGUAGUCCACGCCGUAAACGAUGUCUACCAGUCGUUGGGCCUUUUAAAGACUUAGUGACGCAGUUAACGCAAUAAGUAGACCGCCUGGGGAGUACGGCCGCAAGGUUA
rnacentral:rRNA from 1 species